GAACUCUUGGAAGCAAAGUUCCAGAACAGAACCUGAGAACAACAGAAGGAGAACCAGAACAACAACCUGAGUUAACACGAUGCAGGUUUCCUCGACAGCUACGUGAGAGAGUACAGAGAAUCGGGCUUUGGUCGCAGAGGACAUAGGUUGGAAUCUAAUGGCAUGAUCUCGGCCAAGCUACACAACCUGUGUAUUCAGUUCUCCUCUGGCUUAUAAUCGUUUGUACCUCAGAGAAGUGUGCGUGAAGGAGAUAGCAGAGCGUAUUCGAACAAGAAGAACAAAAUGCACGAUUAAUUCCAAAGUCUGUACGAAAAGACUCUAUCCAGCGGGGCUUCCUAUUUACUUAUUUGAAUUUCUGAGAAGUAAAGAUCCAACGGUCACAACGCAUGAAGCCCACGUAUCUACACAGAGUAACUGAGCCGUGCGGUACCAAGAGACAGCAGGUGGAGACAAAACUUGCCAUGUAGCUCAUUAUACUAAGCUGCGGAGGAACCCUGCACGCACAACACACACCUCGUCGGCUCCUGGGCCCCAGGUCACCUGUGCGCACCGUCCCGGGAGUGUGUACCACGCUCUUCCCCUGCGUGUGCAUGUUUUGGUGAUCAGAUUAUUUAAUACAAUGAUCUGGUUAUAAAAGUUCAAGUAGUGAGCAUAAAGGGAGGGUCUUAGGUAUCGAGGGGAAACUGGAAAUAACAAAAUGCUUUAAAAGAUACGAGAAGGGGAGAGGAGGUAGGAGGGCCAAAGGAGUCCUCAUUAGAGACAGUGCUGGAGGGAGAAAGAGAGAGAAAGGAAAGCUGAGGCCAUCGUGGUGGGUGUGCUGGCUGGUUGCGUGGUUGUUAAACUAUUGCUCUCAGCUCCAGACCCACCCUUUGUGCUUUGCUUGUAGAGCAAACUACGUUUUCACUUUGCCCUUUGGUGACUGCUCCUCGUUAGGCCCACACCAAUCGAAGGUGCUAGAGAAAGAUUUAAAGUCGGAAGAACGGCAGUUGGUUCCGGUCUCCGGUCAUCUUGCUGUCCUGGCAUCUGGCCCGUUUUACCAGUUCAGAGGUACCAGUUCCUCCUGAUCAGAGAGCUGAGUUCCAGCUCUGGGGAGGAGGGGGCCCCUUCUCUAAGUUCCCGAGGCAUCACCACCAGCCAGGCAUCCCUCCUUCCUCUAGGACGAACAACCAUCUGGUCUCCCUGGGACUCUCUUGGUUUUAGCAUGAAAAAUCGGUGUCCCAGAGCAACUGGGAUGGUUGGUCACCCUACUUCUCCUCAGAGGUCUGGUCCCACCAAGUGACGCUCCCACUUCAUUUCUUUUUCCAUCUCAGAAGAUGCUUCCAGAAGUUGCCUGAGACUUCCCCCUUUGGCUUUUUAGUCAUCCAUCACCUGCUUCACCAAUCCCUUGUAUUAAAUUCUCACUCUUAAAAUAACUUGUAUGGUAGUUAUCAGCUACUUUAAAGGUGUUUUAGAAGCACCUUCAGGGGACCGAAGAUCAUGGCUUAAUGCCAAACCACAAAUACAAAUACAACAAACUAGCACUUUGUGUCACAAAAAGAGGGAACGGGCCCAAACCCAAAAGCUGGAUUUCUAAUUUAAGUCAGCAUAGAAGUAAGAAGUACGGAACGUCGAGCCAUGGCUAUCCACCGUGGGUGUCGCAACAUUUCGUCUUAAAAAUUAGGAUGGCCUUCUUCCAGCCCUUCCUCGUAAUUCAGAAGCCAGACUAGCUCACCUACCUCCUUCCACUAAACGAAAUUUAUGCAAUUUGUCAAGGAAAUGUGUCAAAUAAUGCGUUAUUUUAAAACAUGUAUUAAGAAUCCAAGAUGUUUACAACUCUGGUAGCAU